rnacentral:rRNA from 1 species
AUUGAACGCUGGCGGCAGGCCUAACACAUGCAAGUCGAGCGAGCGGCGGACGGGUGAGUAAUGUCUGGGAAACCUCCUGAUGGAGGGGGAUAACUACUGGAAACGGUAGCCAAUAACGCAUACCAUCGGAUGUGCCCAGAUGGGAUUAGCUAGUAGGUGGGGUAACGGCUCACCUAGGCGACGAUCCCUAGCUGGUCUGAGAGGAUGACCAGCCACACUGGAACUGAGACACGGUCCAGACUCCUACGGGAGGCAGCAGUGGGGAAUAUUGCACAAUGGGCGAAAGCCUGAUGCAGCCACGCCGCGUGUGUGAAGAAGGUCUUCGGGUUGUAAAGCACUUUCAGCGGGGAGGCGUUACCCGCAGAAGAAGCACCGGCUAACUCCGUGCCAGCAGCCGCGGUAAUUC